rnacentral:lncRNA from 1 species
GGAAGUUAAAAAUACUAUACAGAUGGCUAAUUGCCAAGGGAUAGAAAAUAGUUCCUAGAAUAGCCCCGCCUCGUACCAAUUAAAGGAGAAUUUCAGGGAGUGAGACAUAGGCAUUUGUGUUUUUAAAAACCCUCCAGGCAAUUCUGCUAUGCAGCCAAGUUUGAGAAGCAAUGCCUAAGUGAUUUGGGUUUUCAUUGUUAUCUACUCCAAGAUUGUUAUCCACUCUUUAAAUGAAAAGAAAUCUACAAUGCCUUGUGGAUUUACAGGAACAAGGAGGUUUGGCUAUCGUUACAUGAGAGAACGUUACCCAAGGACAAAGAAGUUUCACAGACUUCCCCUGGACCCUUGUUGGUGCCCAGAUGUCUGCGGUUCCCUGUCACUUAAAUAUAAAAGACAAGGCAAAGCUCGCAUAAUUCUAAGAUGGUUCUUUAGGACAUUGGUCUGCUUCUUCUUGGUUUCCUGGCUCCCCAAAAUAAAGUCGCUUUCCUUCCUCCA